rnacentral:rRNA from 1 species
GACGAACGCUGGCGGCGUGCUUAACACAUGCAAGUCGAACGGAAAGGCCCUGCUUUCCUGGUGUGCUCGAGUCGCGAACGGGAGAGUCACACGUGUGUACCCUCCCCUUGAUUGUGGGAUACCUUCAGGAAACUGGGGAUAACACGGGAUAGCAGUUCCUGCUGCAUUGUGGGGGUUGGAAUGUUUCGGCGGUUGGGGAUGGACUCGCGGUUUAUCAUUUUGUUGGUGGAGUUGUGGAUUACCAAGGCGUUGGCGGGUAGCCGGCCUGAGAUGGUGCGCGGCCACAUUGGGACUGUGAUACGGCCCAGACUACUACGGGAAGCAGAAGUGAGGAAUAUUGCACAAGGGGCAGAAGCCUGAUGCAGCAACGCCGCGUGCAGGAUGACGGUCUGCUGGUUGUAAACCGCUUGCGCCUGUGACGAAGCGUGGGUGACGGUAAUGGGUAAAGAAGCACCGGCUAACUACGUG